UUGUUGACAUUCUUAGGCCCGGUCUUUUCACCUCCGAAUAAAUAUGCUCUUAUCUGGCAGUUAGCUAUCUGGAGGAUAAAUAUUUAUUCGCCAGAUAAAAUGUACCCGUCUUUUCACGUCAAUUUAUGUUCCAGUUAGUUAUCCGGUAGAUAAGCUUAAAACUUUAACUUAACCUAACAUAAUUAGAUUCACAUAAUCAAGACCAAGAUGAUUUUCUCGAUUUUAUUUCCAUUUUGGAAGAAGGAAAUAAAGAAAACAUUGAUUAUGGUGAAAAAGUUUACUGGAGAACUUGAACAAGAGGUAAAUAAAUUUUAAAUUAGUGGAAAACUGUUGAUUUGUAUGUAAAGAAGACAAAGACAAGUUUAAAUAAAGACAAGCUAGCUAAUGAAACAGAUGCAGUGGUAAUUUUGUUUACAUAAUUAAUAAUUUUAACAUAUUAUAUUAUUAAUAUCUAUUAACUGUUCAAUGAUGUAAAAAUUUGUUAAUGUGGGGAAAACUUUUAUUUAAAUUCAAUACUAUAUUUCUGUAGUGGUAAGGCAAAAAUUUGAUUUUAUGUCCGAUUUUAGCCAGAAUGAGAUUAUUUGCUUGAUAUGCUAUUUAGUAAAAUUUCUUCAAGAUGGUGGAGUUUGGUAUGUGUAUGAUGAAGGUAAAAACCCCUUUGUUCCACAUAUCUUUUGUAUAAAAGUUAUGUCCCCUUUUAACUUACUUAGUAGAACCCCGAUUAUCUGGGUGGGCUUUCUAUUACUCAAGUUGCAUUUUUGAGGUUUUAUCAAAAUAGCGUCAUCGUAAAUCACUUGACUCUAUAUGACGAAAGAGAGACUCAUAAUGAAAGAUUUAUUUUUUUCUGUUAUCUCUUUAUAGUAGGUACAUAAUAAUAUCUAUGUAUACACAUACAUAUUAUGUAUGUGUAUACGUACGUAUUAUACAUAAUAUGAAAUACAUGUUCGGAUUAUCCGUGCUUUUCAAUUAUCAGUGCCACCUUCGGUCUCGAGGAGCACGGAUAAUCGGGGUUCUACUGUAUUAGGUAGGCCAGAACUUGAUAUAUUACUUGAUUUCUUAUGUUGAUUACUUUUCGUUUUUGGGUUGGCAAAACAUGAUUCAAACUUUCAAAAUGCUCUCCUGAAAAAUUAGGCUAGAUGGACAUAUCAAUCAUCGUCAAAACGCUACAGAUUUAUAAUCCAUCCAACUGGUAUAUUGAAUAGUAAACUAGGGAAAUAACCAACUAAGUAUAUCAAAACACAAUAUUUUUAAAGAUUGGAUAAUUUACAUUACAUGGUAACUUGAAGAAUCCCAAUAACAAGAAUAAAACCUAAUUUUAAUAUUUGUUAGUAGAUACCUUUCACUUUUCUAAAUAAAAAAAUUAGUUACAGAUAUGAUAAACAUCUAGAAGAUUCAAUCCUGCAUUCUUAAAGAAAAAAGCUAGUUUUAGUAGUAAGCUACCAAUAAUAAACUAGAGAAUGUAUUACAAGAAAGAACAACGCUAAUACUAAACAUACCUCAAUUGCUUCAGAUAGAAAAAGAGGACGAAAAGGUACAACACAAGCGUGCUAGAGAAAAUGAAAGGGCAGAAGAGAGACACAAAAAUUCAUUGAUUUAUUAAAUUUAAAAAUUUAAUUAUACAAAGGACAAUUAAAUAAAGAAUAAAAAAAUGA